CCCAGCUGACACGGCUCCUCAUCAACAAGCGAGCCAAUUGAGGCCAACAUGACGUGGAGCCCUCCUCCCUCCUCUUCCCUGCUCUCCGCAGUAAAACAAUUAAGCUGUUUACUGGGUGAGGGAUAUCCGUCGAGCUACCCCGCAAAUUGGUCUCCAGUGAGGGGCCCAUUCCCCGGCAGUGCGGCCGGACAGCUGGAGGUGCUGGCGGAAGCCGAUGUGCUCGGACCAUCUGGAAAAAGUAGCAGGAUUCCAAGGCUGACGACGAGUGAUGUAAGCAGUUCCCUCUCUUCUGCAGUGAUGUAAGCAGUUCCCUCUCUUCUGCAGUGAUGUAAGCAGUUCCCUCUCUUCUGCAGUGAUGUAAGCAGUUCCCUCUCUUCUCCAGUGAUGUAAGCAGUUCCCUCUCUUCUCCAGUGAUGUAAGCAGUUCCCUCUCUUCUGCAGUGAUGUAAGCAGUUCCCUCUCUUCUGCAGUGAUCCAUCAUUCCUUGCCUGUCGUACCUCAACUUUGGAGUUCAUCUACUUUAUACCAAUGGAUCUAUCGAGUGCUGGAGAUUUCAAGUUGAAGAUUCUUAGGCUGAGUCAUCGUUUCCACAUGUACAGUAAUUGAUCCCCCUUCCCAGCAAGGAGUGCUGUACAAGCACCUUCUCAUUAUGUGGGUUGACUAUCUUCACACGCUGACGAGCAGUGCAGGUAAUUGAACCACCAUCCUGUUUAUAUGGAGUUUCAAACAAAGUUGGGUGAGGGAUUUGCAGACCUCGUGCAAUCAAUCACAGGUUAAUGUGGUUUCGGCUCUUACCAUCACUUUUAUUCUGUCUUCAGUCACCUUUUCACCUUUCCCUCUGCUCCUUCCCCCAUCUUCUAUGUACACCAUGCUAGCAGUCAACAGAAAGUCAUUAAAAUCACAUUUCCUAAGAAUGCCUUGUGCAUAAAGUCAAUACUACAUAAUUGGUUACAAAUGCAGGAUAUGAAGUGCCUAAUAUAGGUGUCAAUUGAAAAGUGUGUCAAAAAAGGUUGUAUGACUUAAGAAAUUAGAUGCAGCAGAAUUUCCCUUUCCUCAAUGAAUGUUCUGCAUUUCUGAACCAAGGCCUUUGCUUGCACCCUAUCGAAUUGCCAUCAAAACCAAAAAAGGUUACUGGUAUGAUAAAAAAGGUAUUGUAUCAGACCCAUGCUGGUUUUAUGUUUUUAUCUCAUAAUAUGUACAGU